rnacentral:rRNA from 1 species
GAAGUAGUUAGCCUAACCGUAAGGGGGGCGAUUACCACGGUAGGAUUCAUGACUGGGGUGAAGUCGUAACAAGGUAGCCGUAUCGGAAGGUGCGGCUGGAUCACCUCCUUUCAGA